rnacentral:rRNA from 1 species
ACUCAAAUGAAUAGACGGGGGCCCGCACAAGCGGUGGAGCAUGUGGUUUAAUUCGAUGCAACGCGAAGAACCUUACCUACCCUUGACAUUUUCAGAAUUCCACAGAAAUGUGGAAGUGCCUUCGGGAACUGAAAAACAGGUGCUGCAUGGCUGUCGUCAGCUCGUGUCGUGAGAUGUUGGGUUAAGUCCCGUAACGAGCGCAACCCUUGCCCUUAGUUACCAGCGAGUAAUGUCGGGAACUCUAAGGGGACCGCCGGUGAUAAACCGGAGGAAGGUGGGGACGAUGUCAAGUCAUCAUGGCCUUUAUGGGUAGGGCUACACACGUGCUACAAUGGUCGGUACAGAGGGUCGCGAAGCCGUGAGGUGAAGCUAAUCUCAAAAAGCCGAUCGUAGUCCAGAUCGGAGUCUGCAACUCGACUCCGUGAAGUUGGAAUCGCUAGUAAUCGCGAAUCAGCAUGUCGCGGUGAAUACGUUCUCGGGCCUUGUACACACCGCCCGU